AUUGGGUAGGGGAGCGUUCUGUAAGCGGUUGAAGGUGUGUGGUAACGCAUGCUGGACGUAUCAGAAGUGCGAAUGCUGACAUGAGUAACGAUAAAGGGGGUGAAAAACCUCCUCGCCGGAAGACCAAGGGUUCCUGUCCAACGUUAAUCGGGGCAGGGUAAGUCGACCCCUAAGGCGAGGCCGAAAGGCGUAGUCGAUGGGAAACGGGUUAAUAUUCCCGUACUUCUUACAAUUGCGAUGGGGGGACGGAGAAGGCUAGGUGGGCCUGGCGACGGUUGUCCAGGUUCAAGUGCGUAGGCUU
rnacentral:rRNA from 1 species